CCUACGGGAGGCAGCAGCCGCGGUAAUAUUGGACAAUGGAGGAAACUCUGAUCCAGCCAUGCCGCGUGAGUGAAGAAGGCCUUAGGGUUGUAAAGCUCUUUCAUAUGUGAAGAUAAUGACGGUAGCAUAAGAAGAAGCUCCGGCUAAAUUCGUGCCAGCAGCCGCGGUAAU
rnacentral:rRNA from 1 species